GGAGGUUGCGGGUUUGUGGUAUCGUCACCGGUCACUCCCCCUUUAAAUAGCAGCCACGCCGAAAAUACUUGAAGUUAUUUGCACGAACACGUGAAUUAUUAACAAAAAGAAAAGGAAUGGAGCCAAGGGUGGUUUACUCGUAUCUUUGAAGAGGACUGUCGUAUUUCUUAGUGGUAUUUUGGUCUCGCUCCCGCAAAGCAGGUGCAGCAAAAAUGGAGCUGAGCAGAAGGAAAGUGCCCCUCUAUGGCCAGGCCAAAGUGUUUGCAUUAUUGGAGGGGGAGGAUUCCAUGCUUGAAGAUGCCGAAGUCUUCAUUGUUCUGGAAGGAUCCACACUGGUCCAUGUCACCAGGGCUCAGAGCGACGUCAUGCUCUGCUUCAUAGUGCCUGGUA